AGUCAACCUACCCUAUGGACGGGAAUAACCUCGGGAAACUGAGAAUAAUGCCCGAUAGAACAUUAUGCCUGGAAUGGUUUAUGUUCCAAAUGAUUUAUCGCCGUAGGAUGGGACUGCGGCCUAUCAGUUUGUUGGUGAGGUAAUGGCCCACCAAGACUAUUACAGGUACGGGCUCUGAGAGGAGUGGCCCGGAGAUGGGUACUGAGACACGGACCCAGGCCCUAUGGGGCGCAGCAGGCGAGAAAACUUUGCAAUGUGCGAAAGCACGACAAGGUUAAUCCGAGUGGUUUCUGCUAAAGAAACCUUUUGUCGGUCCUAGAAACACCGAUGAAUAAGGGGUGGGCAAGUUCUGGUGUCAGCCGCCGCGGUAAAACCAGCACCUCAAGUGGUCAGGAUGAUUAUUGGGCCUAAAGCAUCCGUAGCCGGCUCUGUUAGUUUUCGGUUAAAUCUGUGCGCUCAACGUACAGGCUGCCGGGAAUACUGCAGAGCUAGGGAGUGGGAGAGGUAGACGGUACUCGGUAGGAAGGGGUAAAAUCCUUUGAUCUAUUGAUGACCACCUGUGGCGAAGGCGGUCUACCAGAACACGUCCGACGGUGAGGGAUGAAAGCUGGGGGAGCAAACCGGAUUAGAUACCCGGGUAGUCCCAGCUGUAAACUAUGCAAACUCAGUGAUGCAUUGGCUUGUGGCCAAUGCAGUGCUGCAGGGAAGCCGUUAAGUUUGCCGCCUGGGAAGUACGUACGCAAGUAUGAAACUUAAAGGAAUUGGCGGGGGAGCACCACAAGGGGUGAAGCCUGCGGUUC
rnacentral:rRNA from 1 species